AUUGAACGCUGGCGGCAGGCCUAACACAUGCAAGUCGAGCGGAUGAAGGGAGCUUGCUCCUGGAUUCAGCGGCGGACGGGUGAGUAAUGCCUAGGAAUCUGCCUGGUAGUGGGGGAUAACGUCCGGAAGCGGGCGCUAAUACCGCAUACGUCCUGAGGGAGAAAGUGGGGGAUCUUCGGACCUCACGCUAUCAGAUGAGCCUAGGUCGGAUUAGCUAGUUGGUGGGGUAAAGGCCUACCAAGGCGACGAUCCGUAACUGGUCUGAGAGGAUGAUCAGUCACACGGAACUGAGACACGGUCCAGACUCCUACGGGAGGCAGCAGUGGGGAAUAUUGGACAAUGGGCGAAAGCCUGAUCCAGCCAUGCCGCGUGUGUGAAGAAGGUCUUCGGAUUGUAAAGCACUUUAAGUUGGGAGGAAGGGCAGUAAGUUAAUACCUUGCUGUUUUGACGUUACCAACAGAAUAAGCACCGGCUAACUUCGUG
rnacentral:rRNA from 1 species